rnacentral:rRNA from 1 species
GGGAGCUUGCUCCGCUGACGAGUGGCGAACGGGUGAGUAAUGCAUCGGAACGUACCCAGUCGUGGGGGAUAACGUAGCGAAAGUUACGCUAAUACCGCAUACGUCCUGAGGGAGAAAGCGGGGGACCGUAAGGCCUCGCGCGAUUGGAGCGGCCGAUGUCGGAUUAGCUAGUUGGUAGGGUAAAGGCCUACCAAGGCGACGAUCCGUAGCGGGUCUGAGAGGAUGAUCCGCCACACUGGGACUGAGACACGGCCCAGACUCCUACGGGAGGCAGCAGUGGGGAAUUUUGGACAUGGGCGAAAGCCUGAUCCGCCAUGCCGCGUGGGUGAAGAGGGCUUCGGGUUGUAAGCUCUUUCCCCCGAAAGAAAUCGCGCAGAUAAUACUCUGCGUGGUGACGUACCCAAGAAGAAGCCCGGGUAACUACCUCCCCCCGCCGCGUAAUACCUGGGUGCGAGCGUUAUCCGAAUUACUGGGCGUUAAGCGUGCGCCGGCGGGUUUGU